rnacentral:rRNA from 1 species
GACGAACGCUGGCGGCGUGCCUAAUACAUGCAAGUUGAGCGCUGAAGGUUGGUACUUGUACCGACUGGAUGAGCAGCGAACGGGUGAGUAACGCGUGGGUAAUCUGCCUUUGAGCGGGGGACAACAUUUGGAAACGAAUGCUAAUACCGCAUAAAAACUUUAAACACAAGUUUUAAGUUUGAAAGAUGCAAUUGCAUCACUCAAAGAUGAUCCCGCGUUGUAUUAGCUAGUUGGUGAGGUAAAGGCUCACCAAGGCGAUGAUACAUAGCCGACCUGAGAGGGUGAUCGGCCACAUUGGGACUGAGACACGGCCCAAACUCCUACGGGAGGCAGCAGUAGGGAAUCUUCGGCAAUGGACGAAAGUCUGACCGAGCAACGCCGCGUGAGUGAAGAAGGGUUUCGGAUCGUAAAACUCGGUUGGUAGAGAAGAACGUUGGUGAGAGUGGAAAGCUCAUCAAGUGACGGUAACUACCCAGAAAGGGACGGCUAACUACGUG